rnacentral:rRNA from 1 species
UUUUAGAGUAAAGUCAGGAUAGAAAAUUCAGAAAGGAUCUAAGCAGGGUCAGGCCUGGUUAGUACUUGGAUGGGAGACCACCUGGAAAUACUGGGUGCUGUAAGCU